GAAUGUUCACUUGUGGAGGAUCAUAGUUAGGGAGAAGAUCGUACAUUGGGUUGGUCAUUACAAUAAAGCCUGACGGGGAACCAACAUUCUCUAUGACAACAUGCUAAAGAUUGUUCUUCGACUGAGCUAGCAUAGCUUCUAACAUCUGGUCUACCUUGCCUUUCAAGUUGUUCAUAUCCUUUCUCAGCUCAACUUGAUUUUGUU
rnacentral:lncRNA from 1 species